UGGAAUCAAUAAGUACAAUCAAGCUCAUUCAUAGUUCUACUCAUUCAUAGUUCUAUAGUAUAAAACUAUUGAAACACAUAGGCUAGGUAGUUCACUUAUUGGAAACUUAGACACGAAAUCCAUAUACUCACUAGGUUAGACUUCAUUCUCCUGCUCAAAUUCUGUGUCAUAGAAACCUCAGCGGAUAUAUUAAUGGAUUUGAUGAAAAAUGCUCAUAUCAUUAUGAAGUCAUUGUAAUGAUUAGCCUUGAUAAUUUGCACAGUAUACAUAAUAAUGGC
rnacentral:lncRNA from 1 species